rnacentral:tRNA from 1 species
AAGGGAGACCUAAUUCAGGUAGGAGACGAAAAAAAAGUAGUCCCUACCAAGAAUCAAUCCCAAAAGGUCGGAACGAGGUAUGAGGCUUUCAAACUAGGUUCUGGGUUCAUAAAAGACCUGAAUCAGGAACAAGGGCUAUUAGCUCAGGUGGUUAGAGCGCACCCCUGAUAAGGGUGAGGUCCCUGGUUCGAGUCCAGGAUGGCCCACCUGCACAGGUGGCAAAAACAAGAGAAGCUCCGAAUCAGCACCUUAUCUUAUCUAUAUAUAAGAGAGAAUGCUGGCUCUGAGUAAAGAGUCCAGAGGAACCUUGAAAACUGCAUAGAGCUAGGUGAAAAAGCCAAAAAAGAAGACCGCAA